UUCUGCUUAUAGGGAUGAUCUUCCUUUUCGAUAAGAAUUUUGUGUCAAGCUGCUGAUUUUUUUUUCUUGUUCAUUUAUUCAGCAUUGUUUGUAAUAAUAUUUGAUUUGACUCCAUUUUAUAGUUGUACUAAGUCACUGAUGGUACUACGAGUUUAACUUUUGUGUUCUGGUGGCCUUUUGUGCAAUCCAAUGAAGCUGUGUUUUUGGUCAGGUUUUCUUUAGAUGAGCUGUUUGUUUUAUGCCAUUAACUAUGGAUGAUUCCUCAAUUUAAGGCUUAUAGUUUCGUCCAUUAUGUGUUUGCACAAUGAAAUGAUUCAUCACAUUGCCAGUGUUUAAUUGGAUGAUGGCAAGCACCAUGUUGGUUAAUGUCUGCACUUUUCUGGAUGAGGGAACUGUAGCAUUUUUUUUUUAUCUGCAACUCUUUGAUUCUAUUUAUGGAUGAUCUCUUUAAUUGAUCUUAAGUCCUGUCUUUCUUUGGCUGCAUCAACAUUUUUAUCUUUGAUUCAAUUCUGCUACACGAUUUCCUGAAGAACUUUGGUGGACGUAUAGUGACGUGUAUUAUGUUUGUUCUUCUCAAGCUUAAUAUACAAGAUCUAAUGCCUUUGCCUUAGGUAUAUAAGUUGUACUGUCUCUGGACUGAAUCAGACAUGCUUAUUAGGGAGACCGGUAACUGUAGAAGCAGAAUAGGCAAUCUGAAAGUGUUGUGAUCUUUGUAUCCAAAGAAGGAAAGAAGAAUAGAGGUAACUCGUUUGUAGACCCACUAUGAAUUAUUGACAUAAUUCUGCACUUUAAAUACAUCACUGUUAGCUGUAGAAGCAGAAUAGGCAAUCCAAAAAUGUUGUGAUCUUUGUUUCCAAAGAAGGAAAGAAGAAUAGAGGUAACUCUUUUGUAGACCCACUGUGAAUUAUCGGCAUAAUUCUGCACUUUAAAUACAUCACUGUACACCACCGCUAGAAGUUGUCAUAAGAAUCCUAUUUAUAUCUUUCUUAUUUAAAAGAAGUUGGAGUAAGUUUGAUAAUGCUAAGAAUUUUGAAAACAUAAGCCUCAAUGGAUGUGUGCCCUAAUGAAAACUAAUCAAGUGGUAAAUUUCUUGUUGAGACUCUGACCAUUUGCUUUAGGUUACUACUUUGUGUAACUGUCCAAUAUUAAUCAGGAGAGGAAUUUAAAAAAAAACAGUUUUUCAUCCUUAAAUGGAAAUAGGGGUAUCAUUAUAUGCUUAUUAAGCCAAUAUUUUAUGAAUUGACUUGCCACCAUAUCUUUUUUGUACCAUUUAAUAGUAUUGUAGAGUAGAUGGUCCGCAAUUUUUCACCAUCUCACGUAGGUAUCAGAAAUAAAUUCAUGCUAUAGUUCAGUUUAUUAGCACAUCGCACCCUCUCGACUAUGCGGGUCUCUUGCCUUGCUUUAUACUUGUGACGCCUCAUUCUUGUCCUGUUGUUUGUCGCCUCAUUCACAAUUUUACCUAGAUAGUUGGCACAAUUGUAGAGUAUCUACGAGACUUGAAAUGGUAUACCUUUCAACCAUCAAAAACCUUGUAGAGUAUCUAGGAGUCGUGAAAUGUUAUACAUUUCAACCUUCAAAAACCUUGACUUAUGGACAUCUUUGUUCAACAUCAUUGUAUCCUUUCAUAUGUAUGUAUAUAUCAAUCACAUAGAGAGAGAUUACAUACCGAAAAAAUCUUUCAUAAAAGAUUUAAUGGUCUGAAUCAAUAAUUGGCUGUCCAUAUUGAAAAUUCACAUCAUUGGUCAUACUCUACACCAUUAAAAAUGCCGAUAAAACAAAAACGAUGUAUUUUGGUAGGCUCCUAGUUAUGCAUCAGGUGGAUUGAAACUUAGUUGCCAGUAAUGGGAGCAGGUAGGGGUGCUGGUUCGACAUUCUAGGAAGAUUUUGUAGUGGGUUUGUUAUCCUAGAUCGAAGAUUUUGGCUGCUAAGGAUUCAAAAAGGGAUAACAAUCAUGCUAUUGUGCUAGAAUUCAUGGUAGGACAUUCCAAUUGAAAAUUCACACCAUUGAUAAUGAUGUACUCAUCUUAAAAAAUGGCUUUAUCAGUAUUGAUAGGUUUUGAUGUGUAGGUCAUAGCAAAAUAAUUUAUGAUGCCAUCAGAGUUAUCUGCUUCCACUCUCACUUGAUGAAUAGGUUGGUAACCUCCAAAACUUAUGAUUUUUGGUUCCUUGGAAUUUUGUGAUGUAAAUCAUAAUAAGUGGUGGAUCUCCAAUUGGGAUGGGUUAACAUUGAUUUUUUGAGUUGUUUCAAUCUUUCACCAAAGAUUUAAUAUCUAACCUGUGGUCCAACUCAUACAUAUGUACAUGUAUGUAUUUGUAUAUUAUGUAUACAUAUGCAUAUGUGCGUAUUUAUGGAGUUGGCUUCUUGAAGACACUAUAUUCUGAAAACACUUGUUUUCAUUUUAUUAUUAAUGAUUAAAUAGAGAACGAAUUUUUGAACUUUAAUAAUAUCUCCCGUACACAAUAGGUCAAUCUUAUUCUGCAAUCGUGCGAACAUUUUUCCUGAUGUUUCCUUUAAUAGGACACCACAUAAUGCUGUGCCAGAGGUUGACACUUUGAUUGAAGUUUGCAGGAUAUUUUUAAAUUGCAUGGAGUGUUACAUUUUGUUCAUCAAAAAGUUUCGCAUGGCUAGUUAACGUAGCUUUUGGAGCUUUGGCCUUCAUUAAUGUUGAUUGAGCUUUUAAUAUUUUGAUUUUGAUUUUAGUUUUGGAUUUUGUUUCCAUGCUAGAGCUUCACUUUUUUAGGAGGGCAAGAAAGGAUAAUCUUCUGUUUUUGCAUUGUUUAUAACUUUAUAUUACUAGAAAGGUUAUCUGACUUCUCCAACUUGGCUAUAAUGACUGGUAUUCUAUUAUGGUUGCUAGUUUCUUGGUCUUUCAGGAGCAGAUGUCUUCAAAGACCAAUUGCCAUGACAUCCAACUUCUUUAGCCUAAAGUUUUUCUUUCAUUCUCCUAUAGUAGCUAAUUAGGAAACUUGUAAACUUGUCAAAGAUUCAUAGUUCAAUAUAUUAUCUGCUUAGCUAUUUCUCAAACUCAUACUUUAAGAUUCACCUAGUGUUUGGAAGGGAGGGGAAUGUGAUUCUGUCUCAUGAUAAUAUGCUUUUACAUGUAAAACACUUCGGGUUUUUUUUGGUUAUUUUUUUGCAUUAUUGGAUCACAUCCAACACAUCCAGUUUUAUUCAAGGUUACUUUGUACCAAUUUUAGUGAUUUUGCUUGCAUUAUUAAAAUUUCUUUGAUUUUUCUGAUAAAGAAGGCAUAAUGAGUGGGCCUGUUUUAAUAGAUUGCUGCUAUAUUUUGCCAAGAACCUCCGAGGAAAGAGUGUAAACCUGGUAUAAACCGGGGUUCAGUUGUUAGAUUGGUCCAAAAUGCCAACUUUGCCCUUGAUUGUUUGGAGAAAACUAUGAGUUGCAGCCGUUUCCUGGAGAUUUUUGGGGAUUUGAAGCAUGUCAAUUUGAAUAACAUAGAAAUUAUACAAUUUGUGGAACUUUUCCGGUUGAACCUGUUAGUGGUUUCAUAAUGGUGGUUCUAACCUUGUCAUGAUAAGUUGAUAACCCACAUGUACUUCAUCAAGAUGACAUCCAUCCAUAUGUAAAAUAAAUUGUGGGUUGAUGGCACCAAGCACAGAAUUGCCCAAAGGCUUUCAAAUGUAGCCAAUCAACAUGGGUUCUCCAACAGAGGGUUAAUUGCAAGUGUUCUUGGUGUAAGACAACUAAUAAAGGAUGCUAGGAUUCACUAAUAAGAAAAUGGAGGAUUUUGAUUUAGAUUUGGACAUAGCUAAUAAGUGAUAGGGUGAGAAUAGGAUAUGGAAACAAAUGGUUAGGCUAAUUUAUCAAUAUCAUGCUUCAUUUAGGACAAUAUUGUCAUGGAAUAAAGGAGAAUUGCUGCUUUCGCUGCUGUCUGUCAUGUUGCAUGUUGAUGUCACUCUAAAUUAUACCCAGUUGAGGUCCCAGUUGUCUUUGGCCAAAUGACAUCAUUUUUUUUUUUGUAUUUAGGACUAAAUAAGGACUACUAUUUGCUGAUUUGUUAUUGUGGUAUAGCAGGAAUGUAAUGUAAGAUGGUGGUUAAAAGAAUUUAAAUAUGAUUGACAAGGGUUGGUUGAAAGGUUUGUUGUGACGGAUCUCGAUGAAACUAAAGAGGAAUAAAGAGAUUCGAGAAGAUAGAGAGAAGAAAAAAAACACAGCACACAUAGAUUUAUAUGGACUAGCCAUAAGCCUACAUCCACGGGCGAGGAUGGAGAAGAGAUUCUACUAUCAUCAAAAGAAUGGAGUACAAAAAUAAAGCCGUCUCUCAAUAAAACUCUAACCGCACUAUACCACAGUUUCAAACUUUUCUAACAAGACAAAAAAUAGAUAUAUAUCAAAAACUGGCUUAGGUCCUGAGACUCGUGAGUACAGGACCUGUGACCUAUGCGGCUGACACGUGUGCCUUGUGCAGUUCCGCAAUCUGUGCUCUCCAAUCUCGCAUCCUAUGCAGCCAGGAUACUUGACCACCAAGGGCUAUGGCCAAUGCCAAGCCUUGCACGCUUGUUAACGAUACUUCUUAAAAUUUUCUUAAAUGGAAUCAUGGAGAGCAUGGUGGAUCAAAGGAUUCAAGGCAUACUUAACAAAUCUCUACCUUGAUUUGAAUCCCAUCAAGCCACACCAUGAAAUAGUAGAAUGUCUCGCUUCCACAUAAGCCAAAUCUCAAGUGCUACAUACACCAAUCAAGUCCAAGCAAUGCUUGAACUUAGCCAUUGGAAGAGGCUUAAUCUCUUCUUGCAUAGUAACUAACCACUUAGCAAAAUCAAUACAAGAAAUAGAUUCUAAAUAUGAGGAAGGCUCGCCAACAUCAAAUGUCUCUUCUCCCACUGACAAAGCAUAAGCAACUAAAUCUGCAUAACCAUAUCUUUGAGGUGGUCUAAUCUCUCUUCUCUGUCCUUCUUUAGCAAUACUUUACUCCUUAUCCUAUAGUGUUUUUUCAAUCUCAAUAGGAUCAUGCACUUGUUCUGAAACCAAGUUGAGAAGAAGAACUAUGCUGCAGAGGAACUAAACUAUUACUCUCUAACUCCACCUGCUCGAUGUUACUCUUCAUCUUACUUGAAUCACAUGAAAUAGAUGACUCCUUUCUUGGGUGAAGCAUAACAAACUCAUCAAAGGUAACAUUCUUAUUAAUCAUGAAUUUAGGCGACUUGGGAUCCGGAUACCACAACUUAAAUAUAUCCAUUCACUUCAUAUGCAUAGACGAGAAAUAUGCACUUUUUACCUCUAGGUUCUAAUUUUCGAGCAUCAAUAUGAACAUAUGUAAGGCAUCCAAAUACUCUCAAAAUAGGGUAGUUAGCAAGGUUACCAGAUCAUACCUCUUCUGGAGUCUUACACUCAAAGAGCUGCGGAUGAAGAAUGAUUCACCACGUAACAUGCUGUAGAGACUUUCUCUGCCCUAAAACCCUUUGACAAGCCAGCGUUUGAGAGCAUAUGACAAGCUCUCUCCAAGAGGGUUCUGCUCAUGCGCAUAGCCACUCCAUUCUGCUGUGGUAUAUGUCUAACUGUCAUGUGUCUGAUAGUACCCUUAUUUUUGUAGUACUCAUCAAACUUAGAAAAACAAAACUCCAAUCCAUUAUCUAUUUUAGGCCUUUUGAUAUCCUUUCUGGUAUGCUUCUCAAUUAUAGCCUUCCACUGCUUAAAGUUCUUAAAUACUUCAUCUUUGUGUUUUAACAUAGACACCUAAACCUUUCUCAAAUAUCAUCAAUAAAGGUAAGUAUAUACUGAACACCACCCUUAGAAAGAACACAUGAAGCUCCCGAAAGGACCAAAUGAAUAUAAUCUAAGGUACCCGUCGUUCUGUAAAUUGCAGUACUGAAACUAACUUUUUUCUUUUUGCUAAAUACGUAAUGUUCACAGAAGUCCAUCUUUGCUAUACUCUGGCCACAAAGAAGACCUCUUUUACUCAACAUAGCUUUCACUCAUAUAUUCCAACCUCAUAUGCCAUAUUUUGGUGAUAUUGGAAUCUAUCAUGGAAGAUGAAGAAACAGGUGCUGCACCUAUAACAGUAGUACCUUGAAGUUCAUACAGGUUCCCAUACCUCUUAUCUUUUAUUACAAUAAGGGCACCUUUACUAACUUUUAUAACUCCACCGUGUACUUUCACCCAUUAAUAUUAAGGGUGCCUAAAGAUAUGAGAUUCUUUUGGAUUCAAAUCUGGAACAUGCCGAAUAUCAAUCAAGGUUCUCACCACGCCAUCAUGCAUUUUGAUUUGGAUUGUCCUUUUUCCAACUAUUUUACAAGGGGCAUUGUUGCCCAUCAACACAACUCAACCGUCCAGUGAUUCAUAUGUGGAGAACUGAUCUCUACUGGGACACGUGGUAGGAACAAUCCGAAUCCAGAAUCCAUUUAUCCUUGUAUCUAAUUCCAUCGGUCACUGAGAGAACAUCUUUAGCCCUUCAGAAUCACCCUUUGCUACACUAGCUUCUGGAGCUUUUUUCUUCUUUUUUUGAUCCUACUUUUGCUUGUUUUGAACUUAUAACAAUCAAUCUUAAUAUGCCCUUGCUUGUGACGGAAAUGACAAGUCAAACUCCUGUUUUUAGACUCAGAUCUAGGCUUACGUCUACUAUUGUCCAAUCCCCUUUCAUUAGACCUCCCUCUAGCAAUCAAGCCUUCUGCUUGGCCUUCACUUGCAUUCUCAGUUGUGUACUUUUCAAUUAAUUCUUUAGAAAGUAAGGAUGCAUUAACGUCUUCCAUAGAAAUUGUAUCUCUACCGUAGAGGAAGAUAUCUUUAAAAUGCUUAUAUGAAGGACGUAAAGAAUAUAAAAAUAGGAGAGCUUGAUCUUCAUCAUCGAUCUGGACAUCAAUAUUCUUCAGAUCCAUAAUAAUGGAGUUAAACUCAGUAAGAUGAGAUUUAAUAGGUGUACCUGUUGCUGUACGUAGCAUAAACAAGCAUUGCUUCAAAUACAACUUGUUGGUAAGGGAUUUGUCAUAUACAAGGACUCCAACUUGAGCCACAACCCAUCAGCCAUCUUCUCAUCAGAGCCUUCCCUCAAAAGCUCAUCAUACAAGCACAGCUGAAUCACAAUAAGGGAUUGUUCAUCCAUUUCCUCCUUCUGCUCAUCCGUCAAAGUAUUGGGCAUCUUAUCCUUCUCUAGCAGUGCCUUCAAUAACCCUUGUUGCAUUAAGAUAGUACGCAUCUUAACCUGCCAUAAUGUUGGUGGGAUCCAACUUUUCAAUCUCAAAUUUCGUUGACAUCUCAGGAUCCAAUUGUUCAACUUGUGGCUCAAGUACCAAUUUGUUGUAAUGGAUCUCGACGAAAUUGAAGAAGGACAAGGAAAUUUGAGAAAAUAGAAGAAAAAAAACAGCACAUACAGAUUUACAUGGACCAGCCACAAGCCUACAUCCAUGGGCGAGUUGAGAGGUGAUGUUGGGACAAAAAUGGAAAACUUGAAAUCCCUCCAAGUCCCUUGGACUCACUCUAGGAGGGAAUCAGCAGCUUCAGAAUGCUUAAGAGUCAACAAUAAUGCUUAAAAGUUACUAAUAGCAAAGAUGCUUUUUAUUACCAAUUUAUUAUCUAAACUCAAACCAACUUCGUACGAUCUAAAAAGAGAAAGUGCAGAAAAAUUGAGAAGAAACUGAAAACAAGAAAUGGAAAAGGAAAUAUUGAAUUGGUGCAGUGAAUGAUUAAAUUUAACUCUCAUUAAAGUAUUCCAUAUUUGUCAUAUGGCAUUCAUCGUAGAAGAUAUGAUAUUAUCAUCCAUAUUUGAUUAAACUAGUACCCCAACAUGUACAUUCCUUCAUGGGUUAAAUAGUAGAAAUGGUGUAGUCAUUUAGGACAGCCAAGGAAAAAUGAAGGGCUAAUGACAAUAGAGUUUCAGGGUGCAGGUAAUGGAUGACCAUUGUCUAACCGAGGGUUUAGGAUUCUAAGCCUAAAUUAGGUUUUUGUGGUUUAUGUUAUUGAAUAGUCAAAAGCAAGCACUAGCUGGAAUUUAUCUAUGAAAAUUCUGAUAUUUAUAUCAUGCAAAAAACCUCAUGGGAAAUAAAAUGGCUAGAAGAAAGCUGGUUUAGUACUUAGGAAAAAAGAAAAAAGACAAUGGAAGAAGGAGAAAAGGAGCUGACAAUACCUAGUGUCCUCACACCACUAGCAAAAGUCUAGGCCUCACACCUAGGUUUGAAGACCUCAAACCUCCAUUGUGGAAUCACCUAUAAACAAAAAUAUCCAUGACUCCAUUAGUUUAUUUCUCUAAUUUGUUUGUGUCAAGGUUCGCCGUCUCGGUAGCGAACCCCGUACCGGUAUCAUCUUAUUACGAUGUUGGUAUGCGAUAUGGUAUAAAACGGUGAGGCGUACCGAGUGUCAGUACGGUAUGAGACUGCAUACCCGUUUGAUACUGGUACGAUAUGGUACUGACCAGUACGACGAAGCUUGAUUUGUGUAAAAAGAUGUUUUUGGAUCUUCUAUUCCUAAUCUUUUUUCCUUAGUUAAACUUUUGCUAAAGAAAGAAAAACAUUCCAAAAAGUGCAAAAUUUGGAUUUCCCUCAAAGCCCAUAUGGAAAGGUAUUGAACUACUUUUUUGUUGGUGAGAGGAAGGUGAGGAGACCCACCUGCAUGAUAAUUACCCAUGCCCCAAUACUUGGAGAUUCAUCACCCAG